CACGGGGGAGCAAGCGUUGUUCGGAAUCACUGGGCGUAAAGGGCGUGUAGGCGGUCAGGUAAGUGGGAUGUGAAAUGCCCCGGCUCACCCGGGGACCGGCAUCCCAUACUGCUUGGCUUGAGUACGGGGAGAGGAGUGUGGGAAUUCCUAGUGUAGCGGUGAAAUGCGUAGAUAUCAGGAGGAACACCGGUGGCGAAGGCGCACAUCUGGCCCGAUACUGACGUGAGGCGCGAAAGCUAGGGGAGCAAACGGG
rnacentral:rRNA from 1 species